AGGACGAACGCUGGCGGCGUGCUUAACGCAUGCAAGUCGAGCGAGGUCCAUCCGGUGGCAACACCGGUGAAGACCUAGCGGCGAACGGGUGAGUAACACGUGAGCAAUCUGCCCCGAAGACCGGGAUAACACCGGGAAACCGGUGCUAAUACCGGAUGUCCUCAUCAGGCCGCAUGACCAGAUGAGGAAAUGGAUUCCGCUUCGGGAGGAGCUCGCGGGCUAGUCAGCUUGUUGGUGAGGUAACGGCUCACCAAGGCUACGACGGCUAGCUGGUCUGAGAGGACGACCAGCCACACUGGGACUGAGACACGGCCCAGACUCCGUACGGGAGCAGCAGGCGGGUAAUCGUUGCGCAAGUGGGACGAAAGCUGACGCAGCAACGCGCGGUGGGAUGAUCGCGUUCGGUACGUAACCCUUGAGCGAGGAC
rnacentral:rRNA from 1 species